rnacentral:rRNA from 1 species
GACGAACCGUGCGAACGUUGUUCGGAAUCACUGGGCUUAAAGGGCGCGUAGGCGGCUUGCCAAGUCCGGGGUGAAAGCCUCCAGCUCAACUGGAGAAGUGCCUUGGAUACUGGCGAGCUCGAGCGAGGUAGGGGCGGGUGGAACUUCCGGUGGAGCGGUGAAAUGCGUUGAUAUCGGAAGGAACGCCGGUGGCGAAAGCGACCCGCUGGACCUCUUCUGACGCUGAGGCGCGAAAGCUAGGGGAGCGAACGGG